AAGACUAUACUUUCAGGGAUCAUUUCUAUAGUAUGUUACUAGAAAGGAAGAAACAUUUAUCCUUGUCAAGAUAUCUUCAAUUCAGAUACAUAUUAGAUUUUGUUUUAAAUAGAAGA
rnacentral:snoRNA from 1 species